GGCAGCAUGGUCUUAGCUUGCUAAGGCCGAUGGCGACCGGCGCACGGGUGAGUAACACGUAUCCAACCUGCCGUCUACUCUUGGACAGCCUUCUGAAAGGAAGAUUAAUACAAGAUGGCAUCAUGAGUUCACAUGUUCACAUGAUUAAAGGUAUUCCGGUAGACGAUGGGGAUGCGUUCCAUUAGAUAGUAGGCGGGGUAACGGCCCACCUAGUCUUCGAUGGAUAGGGGUUCUGAGAGGAAGGUCCCCCACAUUGGAACUGAGACACGGUCCAAACUCCUACGGGAGGCAGCAGUGAGGAAUAUUGGUCAAUGGGCGAGAGCCUGAACCAGCCAAGUAGCGUGAAGGAUGACUGCCCUAUGGGUUGUAAACUUCUUUUAUAAAGGAAUAAAGUCGGGUAUGGAUACCCGUUUGCAUGUACUUUAUGAAUAAGGAUCGGCUAACUCCGUGCCAGCAGCCGCGGUAAUACGGAGGAUCCGAGCGUUAUCCGGAUUUAUUGGGUUUAAAGGGAGCGUAGAUGGAUGUUUAAGUCAGUUGUGAAAGUUUGCGGCUCAACCGUAAAAUUGCAGUUGAUACUGGAUAUCUUGAGUGCAGUUGAGGCAGGCGGAAUUCGUGGUGUAGCGGUGAAAUGCUUAGAUAUCACGAAGAACUCCGAUUGCGAA
rnacentral:rRNA from 1 species